CACCUCGAUGUCGGCUCAUCACAUCCUGGGGCUGUAGUAUGUCCCAAGGGUUGGGCUGUUCGCCCAUUAAAGUGGUACGCGAGCUGGGUUCAGAACGUCGUGAGACAGUUCGGUCCCUAUCCGUCGCCGGCGUAGGAAAUUUGAGAAGACCUGUCCUUAGUACGAGAGGACCGGGAUGGAUGGACGUAUGGUGUACCAGUUGU
rnacentral:rRNA from 1 species